rnacentral:miRNA from 1 species
GAGCAAGAUUGUUAGGAAGAGC